rnacentral:tRNA from 1 species
CGGGGCGUGGCGCAGUCUGGUAGCGCACCACACUGGGGGUGUGGUGGUCGCUGGUUCAAAUCCAGCCGUCCCGACCA